CUAUAAAAUUAUACCAUUGCUUUGCUUUUCUGGAUGAGUUAUGAUUUGAGUACGACAUAAUACUCUUAAAAUUAACUUUCUAAGAGAUUAUAUUUAGUUUAUUGAACUAUAGCAAUUUCUCAUGUUAGUAUACUCAUCUUUGUCAGGGCUUUGUCCUGUCUGAUCCAAAAAAUAGGAUGUUCCUUUGCAGUUUCCUCAUUGUGAUAUCAUUGGUUUGUGGUGCUUAUUUAGUUGGCAAUGCAUUCACCACCAAGGAGUAUAAACAAGCGAAGGACACCUUCAAAGUUCUCUUCAAAUCUGAAGGGAAGGGAAACUUCAGAACAGUGAGCUUCAAGUUCAAAGCAAUUGCACCAAGAACAAGACUCACAUUCUACAGCUCCUUUUACCAUACCAGAAUUGAUGAUUAUGGAUCUCUCUGUGGCCCUGUUCUUGACCAGGUUAUAGUGUUCCCUGUCACCUAAGUUAUUAAACCAUUAAUGUAGUACUUAGUAACUAUGAUUUUUGCAAGUUACUUGAGCCUGUCUUCUGUAUAAUUGCAUGAGACCACUCUUUUACUCUAGUUUGCUGAGCACAAGACACCAAUUUUAAUUUCUGUUCAUUAAAAAAUUUGGCUCAAGAGUUUGAAGAACAAAUUUUUAAUCAUGGGAGUUGAAUGUUCAUGAAAUGAUUAAGUAGUAUAUUUUAGUUUUUGAUUGUUACCAUGUGUUAUUGGAAAUCAUGAGUUUCAAUAAGCAUGCAUUUGUUUCAUGCCAACAUUCUGAUCAAUGCAACUUUUUCCCCUUCUUUUUUCUUUAUUUGUUUGUUCCAGGUUUUGGGGUUGUAGGUUCUUGUAGUAUAGGAAAAAAAAGGUAGAUUUCAUGGAAUUGGCUACUGGAAGUUACCUUCUAGAGUUGUCAACGCGGGUGAGGAGAUUUUUGUAGAAGCUAUUAGAGAAGUAAAAGAAGAGACAAGACUGAGUAUCUAAGGAAGUGCAGAAUUCAUUCUUUGGGAAAUCAGAUUUGUCAUUUCUUUGCAUCUUGCGCCAUCUUUCUGUUGAGAUAAAAAAGCAAGAAUUGGAAAUUGAAGCAGCUCAGAAAGAAGAAUUAGGAUUUGACCACCAGGAGGUAGCCAUGCCAUCUGUGCCUCCACCAAAUAAGAUUAUUAAUUGUUUCUAGCUUUUGUCAAUGGAGGAGCUGCGGGAGAGACGCCUUACUGACCCUCGUCUUCCAAAAACUUACCGGAACAAAAUUGCUACAACUAAAUUCACCCCUUGACCAAUAGAGAUACGGUUCUGUGAACCUACAACUUCAACAAAUCAGACCAAAUCUCCUCCCAGUUUGAAUUUUUGGUUUAGAGCAAAGGGAAAACUUUCAGAUGAUCAGGCCUUGCAUAGUAUGCCAAACCAUAUUCAAUUCCGGAAGUGAAGACUACUCACAACAAAAAGAAGAAAAGUACGCGGAUUUAAUUAAAAGUUUGAAAUCUAGCAUGGACAACUUGAAUAAGGAGGCUAAUCAAGAAUGGGGAAAUAUAUUCCCUGUGUUCAAGGAAAUAUCUGUCACUGACAAUGCAUUAGAAAGGGUUCUUGCUUUGGAGAUUGAGCUUGCCGAAGCAUUGCAGGCCAAGAAGAAAUCAAGCAUGCAAUUUCAGAGAUUCAAGUGUCCUUUUGGUGAAUGAAGCAAUGCAAUUAAGUUCUGGAUUUUAGCCUUCAUCCUCAAGAACUCAAG